rnacentral:rRNA from 1 species
UACCCCGAGGAAAAGAAAUCAACCGAGAUUCCCCCAGUAGCGGCGAGCGAACGGGGAGCAGCCCAGAGCCUGAAUCAGUGUGUGUGUUAGUGGAAGCGUCUGGAAAGGCGUGCGAUACAGGGUGACAGCCCCGUACACAAAAAUGCACAUACUGUGAGCUCGAUGAGUAGGGCGGGACACGUGGUAUCCUGUCUGAAUAUGGGGGGACCAUCCUCCAAGGCUAAAUACUCCUGACUGACCGAUAGUGAACCAGUACCGUGAGGGAAAGGCGAAAAGAACCCCGGCGAGGGGAGUGAAAAAGAACCUGAAACCGUGUACGUACAAGCAGUGGGAGCACGCUUAGGCGUGUGACUGCGUACCUUUUGUAUAAUGGGUCAGCGACUUAUAUUCUGUAGCAAGGUUAACCGAAUAGGGGAGCCGAAGGGAAACCGAGUCUUAACUGGGCGUUAAGUUGCAGGGUAUAGACCCGAAACCCGGUGAUCUAGCCAUGGGCAGGUUGAAGGUUGGGUAACACUAACUGGAGGACCGAACCGACUAAUGUUGAAAAAUUAGCGGAUGACUUGUGGCUGGGGGUGAAAGGCCAAUCAAACCGGGAGAUAGCUGGUUCUCCCCGAAAGCUAUUUAGGUAGCGCCUCGUGAAUUCAUCUCCGGGGGUAGAGCACUGUUUCGGCAAGGGGGUCAUCCCGACUUACCAACCCGAUGCAAACUGCGAAUACCGGAGAAUGUUAUCACGGGAGACACACGGCGGGUGCUAACGUCCGUCGUGAAGAGGGAAACAACCCAGACCGCCAGCUAAGGUCCCAAAGUCAUGGUUAAGUGGGAAACGAUGUGGGAAGGCCCAGACAGCCAGGAUGUUGGCUUAGAAGCAGCCAUCAUUUAAAGAAAGCGUAAUAGCUCACUGGUCGAGUCGGCCUGCGCGGAAGAUGUAACGGGGCUAAACCAUGCACCGAAGCUGCGGCAGCGACGCUUAUGCGUUGUUGGGUAGGGGAGCGUUCUGUAAGCCUGUGAAGGUGUGCUGUGAGGUAUGCUGGAGGUAUCAGAAGUGCGAAUGCUGACAUAAGUAACGAUAAAGCGGGUGAAAAGCCCGCUCGCCGGAAGACCAAGGGUUCCUGUCCAACGUUAAUCGGGGCAGGGUGAGUCGACCCCUAAGGCGAGGCCGAAAGGCGUAGUCGAUGGGAAACAGGUUAAUAUUCCUGUACUUGGUGUUACUGCGAAGGGGGGACGGAGAAGGCUAUGUUGGCCGGGCGACGGUUGUCCCGGUUUAAGCGUGUAGGCUGGUUUUCCAGGCAAAUCCGGAAAAUCAAGGCCGAGGCGUGAUGACGAGGCACUACGGUGCUGAAGCAACAAAUGCCCUGCUUCCAGGAAAAGCCUCUAAGCAUCAGGUAACAUCAAAUCGUACCCCAAACCGACACAGGUGGUCAGGUAGAGAAUACCAAGGCGCUUGAGAGAACUCGGGUGAAGGAACUAGGCAAAAUGGUGCCGUAACUUCGGGAGAAGGCACGCUGAUACGUAGGUGAAGCGACUUGCUCGUGGAGCUGAAAUCAGUCGAAGAUACCAGCUGGCUGCAACUGUUUAUUAAAAACACAGCACUGUGCAAACACGAAAGUGGACGUAUACGGUGUGACGCCUGCCCGGUGCCGGAAGGUUAAUUGAUGGGGUUAGCGCAAGCGAAGCUCUUGAUCGAAGCCCCGGUAAACGGCGGCCGUAACUAUAACGGUCCUAAGGUAGCGAAAUUCCUUGUCGGGUAAGUUCCGACCUGCACGAAUGGCGUAAUGAUGGCCAGGCUGUCUCCACCCGAGACUCAGUGAAAUUGAACUCGCUGUGAAGAUGCAGUGUACCCGCGGCAAGACGGAAAGACCCCGUGAACCUUUACUAUAGCUUGACACUGAACAUUGAGCCUUGAUGUGUAGGAUAGGUGGGAGGCUUUGAAGUGUGGACGCCAGUCUGCAUGGAGCCGACCUUGAAAUACCACCCUUUAAUGUUUGAUGUUCUAACGUGGACCCGUGAUCCGGGUUGCGGACAGUGUCUGGUGGGUAGUUUGACUGGGGCGGUCUCCUCCUAAAGAGUAACGGAGGAGCACGAAGGUUGGCUAAUCCUGGUCGGACAUCAGGAGGUUAGUGCAAUGGCAUAAGCCAGCUUGACUGCGAGCGUGACGGCGCGAGCAGGUGCGAAAGCAGGUCAUAGUGAUCCGGUGGUUCUGAAUGGAAGGGCCAUCGCUCAACGGAUAAAAGGUACUCCGGGGAUAACAGGCUGAUACCGCCCAAGAGUUCAUAUCGACGGCGGUGUUUGGCACCUCGAUGUCGGCUCAUCACAUCCUGGGGCUGAAGUAGGUCCCAAGGGUAUGGCUGUUCGCCAUUUAAAGUGGUACGCGAGCUGGGUUUAGAACGUCGUGAGACAGUUCGGUCCCUAUCUGCCGUGGGCGCUGGAGAACUGAGGGGGGCUGCUCCUAGUACGAGAGGACCGGAGUGGACGCAUCACUGGUGUUCGGGUUGUCAUGCCAAUGGCACUGCCCGGUAGCUAAAUGCGGAAGAGAUAAGUGCUGAAAGCAUCUAAGCACGAAACUUGCCCCGAGAUGAGUUCUCCCUGACCCUUUAAGGGUCCUGAAGGAACGUUGAAGACGACGACGUUGAUAGGCCGGGUGUGUAAGCGCAGCGAUGCGUUGAGCUAACCGGUACUAAUGAACCGUGAGGCUUAACCUUACAACGCCGAAG